rnacentral:rRNA from 1 species
UACAGAGGUCUCAAGCGUUGUUCGGAUUCAUUGGGCGUAAAGAGCUCGUAGGCGGUCUGUUGCGUCGGCUGUGAAAACCCGGGGCUCAACUCCGGGCCUGCAGCCGAUACGGGCAGACUAGAGUUCGGCAGGGGAGACUGGAAUUCCUGGUGUAGCGGUGAAAUGCGCAGAUAUCAGGAGGAACACCGGUGGCGAAGGCGGGUCUCUGGGCCGAUACUGACGCUGAGGAGCGAAAGCGUGGGGAGCGAACAGG